rnacentral:rRNA from 1 species
AGCCAGACUCCUACGGGAGGCAGCAGUGGGGAAUAUUGCACAAUGGGGGAAACCCUGAUGCAGCGACGCCGCGUGAGCGAUGAAGUAUUUCGGUAUGUAAAGCUCUAUCAGCAGGGAAGAAGAUGACGGUACCUGACUAAGAAGCCCCGGCUAACUACGUGCCAGCAGCCGCGGUAAUACGUAGGGGGCAAGCGUUAUCCGGAUUUACUGGGUGUAAAGGGAGCGUAGACGGCGAUGCAAGCCAGAUGUGAAAGCCCGGGGCUCAACCCCGGGACUGCAUUUGGAACUGUGUGGCUGGAGUGUCGGAGAGGCAGGCGGAAUUCCUAGUGUAGCGGUGAAAUGCGUAGAUAUUAGGAGGAACACCAGUGGCGAAGGCGGCCUGCUGGACGAUGACUGACGUUGAGGCUCGAAAGCGUGGGGAGCAAACAGGAUUAGAUACCCCUGUA